rnacentral:rRNA from 1 species
GAUCAUGGCUCAGGAUGAACGCUGGCGGCGUGCUUAACACAUGCAAGUCGAACGGAACUACUUUAAUGAGAUUCUUCGGAAAGGAUUUGAUUUAGUUUAGUGGCGGACGGGUGAGUAACGCGUGGGUAACCUGCCUCAUACAGGGGGAUAACAGUUGGAAACGGCUGUUAAUACCGUAUAAGCGCACAGUACCGCAUGGUACAGUGUGAAAAACUCUGGUGGUAUGGGAUGGACCCGCGUCUGAUUAGCUGG